CCCAGCCUCGGGAGCUCGUCGGGGUAACGCAACCACGGCCGGGCCCCGACUCUGGCCACCAGAGGGCGCGCUGGCUUGUGAAAUGAUUCUCCGCCACCAGGGGGAAAACGCCCUUCGUUUUAUUCAGGUUAGAGAUUCUCUUUCUUUGCUCUGAAACUAAACGAGGAGAGAAAACCGAGGGUACAUCCCCUCCUCUGUGGCAGCGAGGGGUCUUCCUGAAAGCCCCAUGAGAGCAAGGGGCUCAGAGGUGCACUUAGGCGGUGGGCAGGGAGUACGGGACUGGAUGGAGGGUUGGAGGGAGGGAUGGAGAAAGGAAAGAGAGAAGAAAGGAGGGAGGAAGGAAAGAAGAAGGAAAGGCAAGGCGGGAGGGAAGAAGGGUAAAGGAGAGAGGACAGGCCGCUGUUCUCGCUGCGUCAGGACCCACGUGGUGAUCUCAGCGGUCCAGCCCAGGGCUUGACACACGAAAGACACUUGAUGAAACACGGGUUCAAAGAGAACGAAUGGCCCUCCAGGAAGGGAAGCACUGAGAACCAAGCAUUCGGGGUGCCGAUGGUGGUCUAGAGGGAAGCCUGGGAAGGAGAAGGGGUAGGAGGGCACAGGAGGGAAGGGGAACGUUUCAGAAAGAGAGAGGCAUAGUGAAAGUGGUGUAGGAAUCAUAGCAUGGCUUUCACACUUAGACUGUGUAACUUCUUUUUCAGACCUCAGUUUCCACAUCAUGGAUGUACUUGGCACUUGCCGCCUGUUAACAGUGUUGCUCAUAGAUGCAUCCUUCCUCUCCUACUGAGGUUCUCCAGGGCAGACCCUGCCAGGUCAUCUCACCCCGAAGAGUCUGGCACAGGGCUUUCUUCACAGCCAUUGGGCAGGUGGGGGAUGCUUGGGCCAUUUCUGAAGCCUGGGUCAAUGUCAGUUCAGUUGCUCAAUCGUGUCCGACUCUUUGCGACCCCAUGGACUCCAGCACAUCAGGCUUCCCUGUUCAUCACCAACUCCCAGAGCUUGCGCAAGCUCAUGUCCAUCGAGUCAGUGAGGCCAUCCAACCAUCUCAUCCUCAGUCGUCCCCUUCUCCUCCUGCCUUCAAUCUUUCCCAGCAUCAGAGUCUUUUCCAAUGAGUCUGUUCUUCGCAUUAGGUGGCCAAAGUAUUGGAGUUUUAGCUUCUGCAUCAGUCCUUCCAAUGAAUAUUCAGGGUCAAUGAACUCCAGAUGAACCAGGAAGGGGAGUUUAUCUCACUGGGAAGCCCUGGGUCGGGCCUGUGGGAGCUGAGGGGAGGUCUCCUAGAGGCUGGGUAUUGGGUUGUCAGACAAAACACUGGAUGGCCUAGUUAAAUUUGAAUUUCAGUGGUCAAAAGAGAAAGCAUGUGACCAUGUGACAGUGCUUUGUAAACCACAAAAUGUGUGUGAUAAUGAGGAGCUGUCGGCUAGUGUCCUUGUUAAUCUCUUCUUCCCCUAAAAAAGUCAGGACACUGUGUUGAAUAAAAGGAGGAAAGGAGGGAGGGAAGGAGGAAAGAGUGAAGGGAGAGGAGAGAAGGCAGGAGACACACUCUAGGUGUGAUCAGCAUUUCCUCUUCCCUCCUGUCCGUUUGCUAAAUAUUCUAGGGACCCAGGGCUUUAAUUUUCUUAUUUCAGGUGAGCAGGUUUCUUCGUUAUGCAGCUAGCAUUUACUGAGUCCAUGUUUCUAUCCUCACAAGAGGGAACCUUCUAAUGGGGCACAGCCUGUACCCCACACAAUUCCCCCCUAGGUCCACAAGACCUCAGUUUACAGAGCACUUCUAUAGGAAGUUUCUCCUGUCAUCUAGGCAGCUGAGGGAUGGGAUUGAUUUCUCCAUUUCUCCAUUUUAGAGACAGGAGGCAAGGCUCAGGGACCCCAAGUGCUGCCCGAGGUGACCACAGAGAGUGGUCAGACUAACAGCCUUUUUCAGACUAACACUCCAAACGUAGUGAUCUGAUAAGUGCAUCAGGAGGAAAGUGAUCUUGUUUGUGGAAUAAAUGAGAACACUGUGGAAAACGAAACAAGCGGAGUGAAGAGGCUGCAUGCCUCCAGCCACUCCUCCCCUCGCUUGUCUGUUUCUGGGGUAACUGUCGUGGUUCCCACAGUCGUGCACGCUUUGGUUCUGCCAAGCCUCCCACACAGAGGAUCACUUAAUCCCCACAGCACCACGGGCAGGCCCUCGGGUCAAGUGACCUCUCCAGGGCCGCACAGCUGGAAGGUGGGGACUGUGAGCAUGGGGCUGUCUGCGUCUUGCUCAGGCUGUGAACAGUGCCCAGGACACGCAGGUGUGGAAAGACUGAUAGUUCUUACCUGCCAGGUCUUGACGGGCUUCUCUCUCUGAGCAGCCCUCUCGACUGCGAAGCAGCUCUGUGUGUGCUGACCUGGCAAAAUGCCUCCGAAGCCUUGAUGAGUGAGUGAAAGGGAAGUUGUGGAACUCUGCAGGCCAGUGCGCUAGGAACAAAAUGUCCCGUGGGCUCAUAUUUUGGUUUCUGUGAGGGAUAACUCUGAGAGGGUAUUAACCGCUGUCUCUGGUGGUCACCUUCACGGGGAGUGGAAUUGAAGAAGGGGAGGGUAGGGAGAACGUCCAACAUUCUGUGACACUGGCUGCUGUCUGAGUUUCUUGUAACAAUCCUUAUCCUUCAGGAACGUUGGAAAGGGAACGUUUGUAACAGGGAAAAUGUAGAGACAAUCCAAAGGCCCCAGGCCAAGCCUGGAGGUCUCCCCGGUCUGUCUAGUCAGGCUGCCCUUCCAGCCCAGCCUGCAAUAGGGUCGAAGGUGAGACACAUCAAAGGGUGGGAAUCAGUCCAGAGUUGAGUCAAAGAAAAGAGAAUUGUGCGGCCGUGGCAGGGACCCCAGUGGCUGCUGUGUGAGCAUGUGCACACACACAUACCAGACCUGUUACCUUCCUGCCCCCAACACACGCCUCUGAUCUGGCCUCUGCUCUGGGUUGAGGGCUCACAUGUGGUUCUCUGCCCCAGGCCAGUCCUGGGACCCCCCACUGCCAAGGCCUCUCUCUGACUUUGCCCCUGGCCUCACCCUGCUGACAGGAAUGGGCUGGGAGAAGGGGCUUAGGAUUGUCUGGGCCCUGGAAGUUCAACGCUCUGGGCAGUCUGCAGUGGUCCUGGAUUCCUUCUCAUUCUUUUUCUCAAGGGGAAGAAAGCCUUCCUUUAGCUCCUUCCACAAGCCUCCUCUUCUCUGGAGUAGCCAGGAAGUGUGAGCUCUGUCUACUUAGGAUCCCAAUUUGGUAGGAAGUGUGUUGAUAGGUGCGGACAUGUGUGUGUAUAAAACUCUGGAGUUGGUGUUCACGGUGGUUAUCUCUGGGGGGGGGAUUGUGGGUGAGUCUCGCUUGCUUCCUCACAUUUGUGGUUCAUGUUUGUUUAAUUUGUUUUUUAAAGUUUGUCCUUUAAAGUCUCACAGUCCCUGAGAUAAAAUCAUCCAGAGAGAAAGCACGAGAAGGAAAGUAAGAGAGAUACAUGAAAGGCAAGAAGGAGGGAAGGAGAAGCAGCAAUGAAGAGAGGGUAAAGUACAGGGAGAAAGAGAGGGUCAGGGGAGCAGAGAUGAAGGAGGGGGAGGCAAAGGGCAGAGGAGAGAUGGGGAGAGCCCUGCAGGGCCUGGGCUGAGGCCUUGGUGUGCCCCCUGCCCCCAAGUGUGGCAGCAGCUGGUGUCUUCCACAUGGCACUGCAACCCCUCCAGGCUAGCUCCCAGGCAUUCCGGCUGUGUUACACCCCGAGCACCUCUGCUGGGGACGGAGGCAGCAGAUGCUGCAGGUGGCCAGAGCCCAGCCUCCAGGCCGAGGAGCCGGGUGUUAGAGAUAAUCCUCUAGGGUCUCUCGUACUUUGCACAUUUCGUGAGCACAGGCACUGAUUGCGUUCUUUCCAGAUGGUCAUUUCCAGGAUGUUUGAAUAGCAAACAACCUUAGAAGAGAGUGGUAGUGUUUCCUUUUGGAGUGAAGAGCAGAUAUGCCCACUGCACGUUGUGUUUCCUUUUGGAGUGAAGAGCAGACAUGCCCACUGCACGUUCCAGAUGGUCAUUUCCAGGAUGUUUGAAUAGCAAACAACCUUAGAAGAGAGUGGUAGUGUUUCCUUUUGGAGUGAAGAACAGACAUGCCCACUGCACGUGGAGGUUUACAUUGCAAUCUACACACAACUUUCUGUUGUAUACUACAGUCUUUGUUCUCAGAAACAUGGGAGGGCAGUGUGGCCUAUUGGUUAGGAGGUCAGCCUCUGAGCAUAGACUCCAAUCCCAGCACUGCUGUUUAGGGUAUGACCCACAGAGUGUGGUCUGAGAGCAGAUGCUCAGAAAAGAAGGUGGGAAGAAAAAUACUUGGCAACUUUUAUUUAAAAUGAACACAAGGGUACCAGUGAGUCAACAGUUUUACUUCUAGGUAUAUACCCAACAGAAAUACAUCCAUAUGUGUGCUGAAAAACAACUAGAAUGUCCAAAGCAGUGGGAACUACCCCAGUGUUCAUCAGCAGUAGACACUGCGCAGGAGAGAGUUCUGUGCAGCAACGGGGACCUGCAGGAAUAUUCGUGAAUCUCACAGCCAUGUGGGGAAGGAGCCAGACGCAGUAUCAUGUACAAGGUAAGACUCCGUGCAUGUAAAGGUCAGAAGCAGGCAGAGCUGAGGGAGCUGGUAGCAGUCAGGAUGGCUGGCGGGCUCCCUUUGGGGUCAGAUGGAAGGAAACACAGGGAUGCUUCUGGGAGUGGGUCAUUGUCCGUGUCUUGAGCGCAGAGCUGGUGGUGCAGGUGUGAAAGUUGACGACAUGACUUUCCCUAUGUAAAUUAUUUUCCAGUAAGAAGUUUAAAAAUUGGGAAGGGGUGGUUAGAGAUAGAUUUGUUUAGUUUCAGGGGACUGAGUUCAUUUUGAGCCCGAAAAGGAUUCUUUCAGAAAAAUCCUUACCAUCUUACUCAUGACCAACAAUGGGAAGAGAUGGAUGUCAGUAACAUGAGCCAAGAGAAACUUAGGUACCUCCGAGGAAGCUUUGUCCACAAAAUGGGUACUUGUAGAAACAGGUAAAUGACGCUUCAUCUGUGGGCUGUACUUUGGGGUUUUCAAAGCGUUUUCACAUUUAUACACUCUUCAUGCAUUGAAUAUGAAACAAUUAUUUUGACGAAUGGCACUGCUAAAGGAGGAGACCAACUUUAGGAAAGCCCUUGAUAAAACAGUUCAGAGGUGGAAGGUGAUAUCCUGGUUUAGAAGGUGACAGUGAAGCAAAGAGGCAUCCUACUGCUCUACAUAAGAAAUGCAGGGAGACUUCAGGUGGGACUGGGACAGAGGAGAGGAAAGGAGGUGGGGUGGGCAGUGCCAGGCAAGAGGGCAGGAGGCUGAUUCUUCACAAGAGUCCAUAACCCUUAUACGACUUACUGUGUCCUGGGCGUGUCAUAAGUGGUGCACGUGCAUGCACACACACACACACACAUCAUGAAGUUUCUAAUCCUCACUCUGUAGGGAAGUGAUAUGAGGUCAUUUGUUCUAGGCCACAUGCCCAGUAAGUGGCAAUGCUGGGAUCUGAGCCUCCACGGGCCCCCUCCCAGUGCCUGAGCUAUUAACCACUAGGCUACGUUGCCUCUCUGUGUCUUUGAAAACAGUCUAAUAUGCUAUAUGUGGUUGUUUGUGAUUGACCGAGUAAACCUCCUCUUCCCCGGCCCCCAUUUUCAGUAAAUUUCACGCGUAAAUGUCUCCUGGGAGCCUUUAGGGAGGUGCUGAGUUGCACGUGGGGAUCAGCACUGAGCAGACGCCAAAACAGCCACGGGAGUGAGAUACAAAUGAGCAGGAGAGGCCAGCAGGGGCAGAGGGUGGCCCUGAGUGCAGCCGUCCCCAGGGAGUCACAGAAAUCUUGGGGGAAAAUAUUGGAUUUCCUGUUCACAAGGGAUUGAAGUCCUAGCCAAUUUAAUUUAAAUUUCAAAGAACAGUGUCUAACUGCAGCUGGCAUCUGGGUUAUACACACAGCAACUGUGAGAGGUGGGGAGAAAGGCUCUGUGAGCCCCAUUUCACAGAAUAAAUUAGCCCCAGACAGAGUCAGAAACCCAGCCAAGGUCACACAUGGGGUUGGCACUGAGGGAUUUGAACCACUUCAGUUAAGAACAACUGGGGAGUAUCUCAGUUCAGUUUAGUUCAGUCGCUCAGUCGUGUCUGACUCUUUGCGACCCCAUGGACUGCAGCAUGCUAGGCCUCCCUGUCCAUCACCAACUCCCAGAAUUUACUCAAACACAUGUCCAUUGAGUCGGUGAUGCUAUCCAACCAUCUCAUCCUCUGUCGUCCCCUUCUCCUCCUGCCUUCAAUCUUUCCCAGCAUCAGGGUCUUUUCCAGUGAGUCAGUUCUUCGCAUGAGGAAGCCAAAGUAUUUGAGUUUCAGCUUCAGCAUCAGUCCUUCCAAUGAAUAUUCAGGACUGAUUUCCUUUAGGAUGGACUGGUUGGAUUUCCUUGGGGAAGAACUGCGCCUUGAAAAUAUAGUUCCUGUCACCUGGGUCCCCAGGCUGCCCCGCUCCUGCCCUUUCCAAGGCUGGGAAAGGUCAUUCAGGCCUUUCUCUUCAUCUGUGAGCUGCCUGCAUCCUUCUGAUAAACUACCUUCUUUGGCCUAAGUAAGCCAAGAGUUUUUCCUUAGCUUGCCAUGACUUACCAGGUGGAUAUGAGGCCUGUGCCUGCCUCACCUGGCCCUGGGCAUGCAGCCCCACCCCUCUCCUGGAGGAGCUCCUUGUCAGGAGGGGAGCCUCAGCUGAGCCCCUCAAUGACCAUCAUCCUCACAAGCUGGGAUGGGAGCAGUGGAGGCUGAGGGAGAAUGAAAAGGUCCUUCAUUUGCAGUGAUGGACUCAGAUCUAUAAAUAGUCGUCAGAAAUAAAGCAGAGAAAGAGAGAAGUCAUUUGUGGGCUCACAUUUAAUUCAAAGGUGUUCUUUUUCUUCCUCUGAAAUAAGCUGUGAGAUUCUUUUCAAACCGAAGAAACCGAAAACCAUCUUGAAUUACCAAAGAAGCUCCUCAGCCCCCUCGAGGCCUCUCGGGUAGGGAGUCACAUCUUAAGAGGCCCUCAUCCAGGGGGCGUGUGCAGGCUGCCUGGGUGUGGAAGAGGGAGCUGAGCACUGGGCCCCUUCCCUGCCUCUCCCUCCAACAAGGCACCCCAAACUAACCAGCACUGGCAGCCAGAGGGGAGAAAUUCAUUAGCAGAUCUGGUUUUGCAUAAUUUAGUGGUUGGCAUUAGCAAAUUAAGUCUGCUUGGCUUCCCUCGUUGUAAUGGCCUUUAGAGGAAACGUGGGGAAAAUACCCGCUCAUAAUCCCAGCAGUUUUCUGGAGCUGAUAAUUAAUAACAACAAUAAACUGUUAGUAAGACGUUGCAGUUUCCCCUUCGCAGGCUUUCAUGCUUGCUGCUCGCAACUGUAGCAAAGGAAAACAAGUCUGGAUUAUUGUCCGUUUGAUGACCAAGAAACUGAGAUGGGGGUGGGGUGGGGUUCAGCUGGGGAGGGAGCCCUCCUCUCUGCUGCCUGGGGCGUGUUAACGGGCGAGUGACGUCAAGAAUACUGGGGUUCAGGCAGGACCGACAGCUGAGGCCCUGCUCCACCCACAACCUUCUCAGUGGGAACCUUAUUCCUCACUUAGCUACAGCAAAUCCUAUUAACAUCAACAAUAAUAAAGCCAAUAUUUGUGGAUUACUUCUCGGCACCAAACUAUUUACUUCACUAUCUUCUCAUUAAACCACAACCACCCAUGAAGUGGUCACUGACAUCAGCAUCAAUUCACUGGUGAGGAAAUGAAAUCUCACAGAGGUGUAACAGAUACAAACAACUGAAUUGACUUCCUGGCCCUCAUCAGAAGACCUCCCUGACUACACAUGUGGAGAAAUGAAUGUUCCCUGAUGGUCAAAAGGCAAGUGAUGAUGACUACCCAUAGGCCUCUUCAGAAGAAUCCAUGUUGGCUAAGAGAUGCACCUACACAUAUGGGAAGAUCGAGAUAUUCCAAAUAUGGACUCUGAACCAGGCAAAUCAAAAUAAUUGGCCAAAGGAAACCCCAAAGAAAGUGAUUUAAACCUCCAUGAGGGCCCAGCUCUCUCUGAGUCUGCCUGUAUGUCUAUCCAGAGGUGCUGUACUCUUUUUUGUCCUAAUAAAUACUUUGUUUCACUC
ensembl:lncRNA